rnacentral:lncRNA from 1 species
GGCGCCAUGUUUGACUUUCUUGUGUCAAGCGCAACCUUUGACCCUCAGUCAAAGGUUGAUCCAGUUCUUGAAAUUAUUCUAAGGCAAUGGAAGGGAGUGUAAAAGAGGCGCAACUUUUGAAUAUAUAUGUGUAUAUAUAUAUCAAGCGCAACUUUGAUAUAUAUAUACACACUGUAUACUUCAGGCGCAACUUUUACAUUAAGGAGUUAGAUUUAUUUUGUUAAAACGAAUCCGUCCAGGACGAACUCAAGUCGUCCAGGACGAACUCGUUAACCAUGGUUAGUUUAUGAA